AAGCCCUUACUCACAUGAGCA
rnacentral:miRNA from 2 species